AGUAAGGAGGCUACAGUUGGAGUAACUCACUGAAGUUGCUUUAUGGCCACUAACUCAAGACCUAGGCAUGGAAGACCCUCCCACCUUGGGAUUCAAGUGGAGAGCUUGUCGGCCCACGGGGGCUGUGACCUGACCCUCCAGGACAGAAGACACAAGAGGGACGUCGAGGCCCCUGGUAAUUGAUUUGAGAAGACAUUCGGGUCUGAAGCCAAUGGUUAAUCCCUUUCUCCUGUGGCCACUCUCCUUGUGCCUCCAUUUCUCCAACCCCUGAAAUCAGCUGUGGUCGUUCCGACUCACCUGGAAACACUUCCAUUAGGACCUUUUACCCAAGAUGCUCCGUGCCAACGCCCUGCCUCUGCUCCGCCGAGGAGGUGGGAUUACUGGUGCCUGCAUUGGGAGACUUCAGAUGUGAGAAAAGAAGGUGGCUUUCUGUGGUCAGACUGAAGAACCCCUCCCACAUGUACACCUGGAGGUAUGUAGAGGGACUGGAAAAUGGAACAGCCCCAAAGCCCAGCAACAGUGGAAGGGACAAAUGAAUCGUGGUGUGUCUCA